rnacentral:lncRNA from 1 species
GCAACCUUCAUUCUCUGAACAUGAGAGUUCUUCAUUGGCCAGCAGUCCACCCCAUACAACAUGGCAGGUCUAACCACAACUCUAUAAAAUUCCCUUGAGUUUCUGUGGAACUUUCUUGUCACACAGAACUCCUGUUGCAAGCCUCCACUUUGACCACCCCGCUCCUAUACGAUGAGUGAUGUCCCCGCCAAUCUCUCUA